AUUUAAAAUUACGUCGCUGGCUCUAACAGUUAUUCACUCUCAGACUAUGUAACAGGAGUGUUCUCUGUAAGGCUCAUGACGUUCACAACACAACGUACCAUCUGGAGACGCCAGACACUUCUGUGCUCUAGCAACAUCAACUUCACAAGCAGAGAAGGGAAAUACCGACAAGUGGUAAGAAACUGCGAAUUGCAGCUUGUUUAAACAGUUUGCUAUUGGUAUAUCAGUGCCUAAUCUCAACACUGUUUAGUGAAGAGUCCACUCUCUAAAGGCAACUCAACAUAACGCCGUGGGAAAAAGUUGCUUGGAGACUGAAUAAACUUCUCCGCCCUCUACCUGCUGACCACCGCCCACACUCCUGUAGAGUGCAGCGGCAUCCAGAAGCAAAGCUUGCAUAUUCUUGCCAAAUGACUUCCUAACUUCGCUUGAAAGCGCUUAGUUUUUCAGCUCGCAAAAACUCUUCAGGGACAACGGUUAAGAAGUACGUGGAACUCAAAAUUGAGGGGGCAGAUUCUGGAGCGGAGGAUGAAAUUCACACGUUCCAGGAAUCAGUAUCAUUGUGCAACAUCAGGGCAGCAGUUCUGGUCACCACGUGGAUUUGUAAACACAGAAAAGUAGCAGCAGCUGCCAGUGUGCAAGUCACCAAAAGUCUCACUGAGAACCCACAUGGCAUUGAAUGUUUUCAGUGCCUUUAACAAGACAAGCUCCUGAAUUAAAGACUAUUUUGUGAAAAGAGGUUUCAUUGUCUUGUUCUACACCAGAAAUAAAGCAUUUCCAAUCCUGUUGUUUUAAAAUAA